rnacentral:RNase_P_RNA from 1 species
GAAGUUGACCAGACAGUCGCUGCUUCGCUUUGAUUCUCUUUUGAAGAAGAAAGCGGGGGAGAGGAAAGUCCGGGCUCCAUAGGGCAAAGGUGCCAGGUAACACCUGGGAAGUGUAAACUUACGACUAGUGCAACAGAAAGCAAACAGCCGAUGGCACGCGACUUGAUACCAAAGCAGCGUAAUCAGGCAAGGGUGAAAAGGUGCGGUAAAAGCGCACCGCGUGGCUGGUAACAGCUCACGGCACGGUAAACUCCACCUGGAGCAAGGCUAAAGAGAGGUUUCAAAGUGCGGCCCGCACUAAAACCCGGGUAAGCUGCUUGAGCCAACGCGCGAGCAUUGGCCUAGAUGAAUGACUGUCUACGACAGAACCCGGCUUAACGGUCAACUUCACUU